UGUCAAGUCGACUUCCUCGGUAGU
rnacentral:siRNA from 1 species